rnacentral:rRNA from 1 species
UACAGAGGUGGCAAGCGUUGUUCGGAAUUACUGGGCGUAAAGGGCGAGUAGGCGGCCAUCUAAGUCAGACGUGAAAUCCCCCGGCUUAACCUGGGAACUGCGUCUGAUACUGGACGGCUUGAGUUUGGGAGAGGGAUGCAGAAUUCCAGGUGUAGCGGUGAAAUGCGUAGAUAUCUGGAGGAAUACCGGUGGCGAAGGCGGCGUUCUGGACUGCAACUGACACUGAGGAACGAAAGCCAGGGGAGCAAACGGG